GGUUGUGGCUCAGUGGUAGAGUGCUUGCCUAGCACAUGUGAGGCACUGGGUUUGAACCCCAGGACCA
rnacentral:tRNA from 1 species